CCUACGGGAGGCUGCAGUGGGGAAUAUUGCACAAUGGGGGGAACCCUGAUGCAGCGACGCCGCGUGGGUGAAGGAGUAUUUCGGUAUGUAAAGCCCUAUCAGCAGGGAAGAACGAUGACGAUACCUGACUAAGAAGCACCUGCUAAACACGUGCCAGCACCCGCGGGCUUACUACGGGUGCAAGCGUUAUCCGGAUUUACUGGGUGUAAAGGGAGCGCAGGCGGCGAGUUAAGCCUGGUGGGAAAGCCCGCGGCCGAACCGAGGGAAUGCAUUGGUAACUGGCGCGCUGGAGUGCAGGAGGGGGAGGAGGAAUUCCUAGUGUAGCGGUGAAAUGCGUAGAUAUUAGGAGGAACACCAGUGGCGAAGGCGGCCUACUGGACGGUGACUGACGCUGAGGCUCGAAAGCGUGGGGAGCAAACAGGAUUAGAUACCCUUGUAGUC
rnacentral:rRNA from 1 species